UGGGAGCCCUACCAUGCAAGUCGAGCGGAAACGAGUUAUCUGAACCUUCGGGGAACGAUAACGGCGUCGAGCGGCGGACGGGUGAGUAAUGCCUAGGAAAUUGCCCUGAUGUGGGGGAUAACCAUUGGAAACGAUGGCUAAUACCGCAUAAUGCCUACGGGCCAAAGAGGGGGACCUUCGGGCCUCUCGCGUCAGGAUAUGCCUAGGUGGGAUUAGCUAGUUGGUGAGGUAAUGGCUCACCAAGGCGACGAUCCCUAGCUGGUCUGAGAGGAUGAUCAGCCACACUGGAACUGAGACACGGUCCAGACUCCUACGGGAGGCAGCAGUGGGGAAUAUUGCACAAUGGGCGCAAGCCUGAUGCAGCCAUGCCGCGUGUGUGAAGAAGGCCUUCGGGUUGUAAAGCACUUUCAGUCGUGAGGAAGGUGGUGUAGUUAAUAGCUGCAUUAUUUGACGUUAGCGACAGAAGAAGCACCGGCUAACUCCGUGCCAGCAGCCGCGGUAAUACGGAGGGUGCGAGCGUUAAUCGGAAUUACUGGGCGUAAAGCGCAUGCAGGUGGUUUGUUAAGUCAGAUGUGAAAGCCCGGGGCUCAACCUCGGAAUAGCAUUUGAAACUGGCAGACUAGAGUACUGUAGAGGGGGGUAGAAUUUCAGGUGUAGCGGUGAAAUGCGUAGAGAUCUGAAGGAAUACCGGUGGCGAAGGCGGCCCCCUGGACAGAUACUGACACUCAGAUGCGAAAGCGUGGGGAGCAAACAGGAUUAGAUCCCUGGGUAAAUC
rnacentral:rRNA from 1 species